UAGGGAAUCUUCGGCAAUGGGGGGAACCCUGACCGAGCAACGCCGCGUGAGUGAAGAAGGUUUUCGGAUCGUAAAGCUCUGUUGUUAAGGAAGAACGAGUGUGAGAAUGGAAAGUUCAUGCUGUGACGGUACUUAACCAGAAAGGGACGGCUAACUACGUGCCAGCAGCCGCGGUAAUACGUAGGUCCCGAGCGUUGUCCGGAUUUAUUGGGCGUAAAGCGAGCGCAGGCGGUUAGAAAAGUCUGAAGUGAAAGGCAGUGGCUCAACCAUUGUAGGCUUUGGAAACUGUUUAACUUGAGUGCAGAAGGGGAGAGUGGAAUUCCUAGUGUAGCGGUGAAAUGCGUAGAGAUUAGGAGGAACACCGGUGGCGAAAGCGGCUUUUUGUCCUGCAACUGACACUGAGGCGCGAAAGCGUGGGGAGCAAACAGG
rnacentral:rRNA from 1 species